rnacentral:tRNA from 1 species
AAUGAAGUGCCUGAUUUAAAAGGGAUAUCUUGAUAGGAUAUAUCAUGUUUUAUAAACCUUUAUUA